UAGAGGUAAACAACACUCCCCUGAUCAAAGUGGUGGUCGUGGUGUGUAGCUGGGACCCGCAGCAUGAUCUUCAGGAGGAGAUGGAAGGCGAGAUAGGAUUUGUCUCAUCAACUCUGUCUGCUGCGCUUGCUCUGCCUGAAUGGAUUGAAGCCUAUUCUCCAUACUUCCCAAUCGAUCCCAGGUUUCGUUCACUCACCACUGUAUGCCAUCCAUUCUCCCAGCAUACAUGUUGAACCUACCAUUCAUGGUUUCCACUUCCC
rnacentral:lncRNA from 1 species